UGUAUCUACUGAUAGGUGGACAUGCUGUGAGCCCCUCCCUUCUCUCCUGUAGAUUGGAAGCUCCAGGAGAGUAGGGCCUGCCUGUUCCUUUUUUUUUUUCUUUUGGUCUUUCUAUGCCCAGCAACAUCAGCUGUCUGACCACGUGGCAGCUUUAAUGCUUGUUGAUUGACUGACUGAUGGAUGGAUGGGGAUGUAAAAGGGAGCUGGCCUACGUGGUGUCUAAGGUCCCGGAGGGUGUCUAAGGUGAUGGUCCCCUCCGUCUGCAAUUCCUACGGCCUUCUAACACCGGCCAGGACAUUCUCCACCUUCGAGUUGGAGGCCGCGUGGGGGGCGAGCCGGGCAGGGCCAGGGCGCUGGAGCUGGGCUCAGGCAGAGUGGGCAGGCGUGGGGGCGUGGCCUGGGUUUGGGGCGGGGCUUGGGCGCUGGGGGGGUGAGACUUGUGUGGGAGUUGAGGGGGGCGGGGCUUCUCCGGGAGUUGGCAGGAGUAGGGCGGGGCCUUAAAAGGGGCAGGAUGGGAUGAGGCGGGUCUCCAAGAUGGUCUGUGCUGAUUGGCGAUGAGGAAACUGAGGUCCAGGAGAAAUUAAACGAUUUGCCCAAGGGAGUAAGUGGCAUCCCUAUAAUCCUUUCAUUGUGACUAGCAUGCAGCCUGACUAUAUUACAGGUGGAGGAUCUUAGAGAUGGCUAAGAAGUUGUAAGCUUCAAAAGGUCAGAAGUCUGUGAGCUACAAUUCACCCUGAGAUUUGCCAGAAGCCAGAUGGUGCAGAAGGAAGUCCAAAGUGACCUGCUUGACCCAGCCCAGGAGUAACAAAGACGUGGAUUCAUCUAUCCAUCAGCCAUGUCUCAUUUGGGAAGUGGAUUUGGUGGGGUGAAUAUUAUGUAGAAAUUGUGUUAAGCCUGAGCCCUUUCUCCCUAGGGACUAACGUGAUAUAAGGAGUGGUGUGUCCCCCACCCCAGGUGUUGGGGAAAAAAUGUUUAUAACUUCUAUUGUUGUUACAUGUUCCCAAAGCUAAUUGGUGUUGAUUAGUUAAAAGGAACCAGGGCACUAAUUGCUGGCAGUUGACAGUGGGGAGGGAACUUGAGCUGGCACCAUUACACCAUGACCCCUGAAAGGUACCCCUAGAACUGUGGGGGCAGAUGGAGCCAGUCCCACUCUGGAAGAAUGAGCGCAGAAUAAUCAAAACACUGAAAAGAAACAAAAAAGGAAAAAGAGUCUGAGAGGGGAACGUUGGGCCUUUGAGAAAGGGAGAGUACUCUGGGGCUUUUGUCUUUAUUUUACACAAGGGAGCAAGAGCGUUGAAAAUUGGAAAGAGGGCAGAGCUUGCCUUUUCCAAGAAACUGCGGUUUACAGAGCUGAUGGGAGCCAUGAAGAAUGACUGAAGGAGACGGAAGAAAAAAAAAUACACCCCUCUGGUCCCCCUCUGUAGCGAGCAGAGAGAAGUUGUGGAAGAUGGGAUGGAGGGUCCUCCACCAUAUUGAAGACUGUACAUGCCUAGGGAUUUACAUAUAUCCUUGGGAUUGGUUCCUGCCCUCAAGCCGCGGUCAGCCAUCCUGUACUAAACACAGCUGCCUUCCAUUCAUAAAAAUGCAGGAGUGAGUCAGAGACCUCCGGUCUUUGCUUUGAUCAGGAGUCAGUCCACAAGAAUGAUCUGUAUGUCACUUUCAGUAAGCUCUUAGGCUAUUUAGAGCCUCCCUUUGACCCAUCCUAUUUCUGCUUCUGCCAGAUAUUGAUUCUGACUCUAUCUUGGUUCCUCGCUGCCUGUUCUGUCGGUACAAUAUAGGGACCUGCCUCCUCUUACCUCUGUCCCUGUUCAGAUUAUGGGAAACCUAGUGUUGUUAUUAAUAAUAUAUUUUAUAUGAGCCUUUAAGAUGCCCCAGUGUUUUCCCUACAGUAACCCCAUGAUGUGGGGAAUCUCCUGCAACUUUCACUCUUUGUUACUAAUAGCAAUAGUAAAUUAUAAUAGCUAACAUGUGUAUAGCACUUUAAGGUCAGCAAAGCAC